rnacentral:rRNA from 1 species
UACGAAGGGGGGCUAGCGUUGCUCGGAAUUACUGGGCGUAAAGCGCACGUAGGCGGCUUUGUAAGUUAGAGGUGAAAGCCCCGGGGGCUCAACUCCGGAAUUGCCUUUAAGACUGCAUCGCUAGAAUUGUGGAGAGGUAAGUGGAAUUCCGAGUGUAGAGGUGAAAUUCGUAGAUAUUCGGAAGAACACCAGUGGCGAAGGCGACUUACUGGACACAUAUUGACG